ensembl:lncRNA
ACGAAAUAUUUGGAUAGUUCACAUCUGAGUCCGUGCCUCAAACGCUGCAGGAAGAUAAAAGGCAACAGUCUUCAUUCUGAAUAUGAUUUAUGAGGGCUUCAGCAUGAAAGAAUAAGUGGAAGACUUUUACUCCGCUCCUACCCUCAUGUCUUCUUGAGGAAGAUUGAAACUGUCAGCCUUUGGACCCAAAGGGACAGUAGAUGGAUGGGCUAAACAGAGAAAAGAGGCAGAUAUUAGCAAGGAAAGAACAAGUGUAAUUUCUUGAGAAGACGGAACACUGAUGUACUUGUAAGAACUGAUAUGCAGCAAAUAUAUUUUACUACUGCAACAAAAACAUCUUUUAAAGCAUUUUCUGGAGUUCACUUAUACUUCAUAGAACAUUAAUUAGAAUCAUAGAAUGGCCUGGGUUGAAAAGGACCUCAGAGAUCAUCUAAUUUCAACCUCCCUGCUAUGUGCAGGGUCACCACCCACUAGACCAGGCUGCCCAGAGCCACAUCCAGCCUGGCCUUGAAUGCCUCCAAUGCAUCCACAACCUCCUUGGGCAUCCUGUUCCAGUGUGUCACCAGCCUUUCUGUGAAAAACUUCCUCCUAAUAUCUAACCUAAUUGAUAAAAAGCUUGUAUGAAGAAUACCAGCCUGAGGAAGUUUGGAUACAGACUGAUGAAGAAAAGACUAAAUAUGAACUGAAAAUAAAACUGUUCUAUACAUACCUUUCCUGUAAAUCUAUUCUGAAUAUUCUUCAGGAAAUUAUCUUCUCAUAUUUGAAGGAAAACUAAAAGCAUAAAUUAAAUGGAACAUCCUAACUUCAAUAAAUUCUGAAACUGCUUGACAGAUUAUUCAAAUUUGUAUAUUUAGGAAAGAAUAAGAAAUUGGAUUUUUUAUCUCAAAAAAUGAUUAAUUAACAAAGAAUAGCAUCAUCUGGCAUUUACUGCAGAAUACUUGAACUAGAUGCUUGUGGUUUGGAAAAUAGUCUUGGAGUGAAUGCUUACAUGCUGACAUUCUUCUGGAAACAGAAAAAUAAGGCAAGUAAGGUUUCCCCCCCACCCCACCCCCCAGAUAACAUACAAAGUUAUGCCUGUCCUUGCUAAUAAGCAUAUGUCAAAAAGUUGCGAGGCUUUCUGAUUUAUUAUAUAGUCAUACAAAGAUAGAGUGCAAAACAGUUGCCCAAAGGAGGACAGACAUUGGAAAUUGCUAAGUAUGGUGAAGAUAACAGCCUGGUUCGGGCAAUGUACACUGACAGUGGCCAGGACUCAAAUGUGAAAAUGGUCAGAAUAUGGUUAAAUAAGUUUAAGCAUUUUGUUUACUGAUGGAAGACAAAGAUUGAACAUGUACACAAAGUCAAAUUCACUUUUCCCAGAAAAACUCACGGUAAUUAACCCCAAAUGAGUGCUCAGAUACCUCCAUAUAUUGUGCAAACAGAUCAGUGAACUACUAAAAAAUUUUCUACUGCAGCCUUGGUUAACGCUUUGACUUUGUGUAGACCAGACUCACUGUAUAUAUACAUAUAUGCUGAUAAAUAUAAAACUAACUACGUUACACAAAGUAGUUACUAAAUUUACAUGCAAAGAUGGCUAAUUUGGAGCAUAUUUAAAGGCUAAAUACAUAUGCCCAAAAUAUUUAUAUGUGCACAUUCCUCAUCUGAGGGAGGUACAUCUAAAAUGAUAGCAGCUUUCCAUGCAGAUUACAGCAGUGCCAGUAGAGAAGCUACAGUAUAAUUAAGGUUUGAACAGGUGAACAGCAGCAACAGAGCAAAAUCUCUGACAGUUAGAAUAUAUUUUAUAGGAGAUUAUG